rnacentral:rRNA from 1 species
UGGGGAAUAUUGCACAAUGGGGGAAACCCUGAUGCAGCGACGCCGCGUGGAGGAAGAAGGUCUUCGGAUUGUAAACUCCUGUCGUUGGGGACGAUAAUGACGGUACCCAACAAGAAAGCCACGGCUAACUACGUGCCAGCAGCCGCGGUAAAACGUAGGUGGCAAGCGUUGUCCGGAAUUACUGGGUGUAAAGGGAGCGCAGGCGGAAGGACAAGUUGGAAGUGAAACCCACGGGCUCAACCCGUGAACUGCUUUCAAAACUGUUUUUCUUGAGUGGUGUAGAGGUAGGCGGAAUUCCCGGUGUAGCGGUGGAAUGCGUAGAUAUCGGGAGGAACACCAGUGGCGAAGGCGGCCUACUGGGCACUAACUGACGCUGAGGCUCGAAAGCAUGGGUAGCAAACA